rnacentral:rRNA from 1 species
CGGUAACAGAUCCAGCUUGCUGGAUGCUGACGAGCGGCGGACGGGUGAGUAAUGCAUAGGAAUCUGCCCGAUAGUGGGGGAUAACCUGGGGAAACCCAGGCUAAUACCGCAUACGUCCUACGGGAGAAAGGGGGCUCCGGCUCCCGCUAUGGGAUGAGCCUAUGUCGGAUUAGCUAGUUGGUGAGGUAACGGCUCACCAAGGCCACGAUCCGUAGCUGGUCUGAGAGGAUGAUCAGCCACAUCGGGACUGAGACACGGCCCGAACUCCUACGGGAGGCAGCAGUGGGGAAUAUUGGACAAUGGGGGAAACCCUGAUCCAGCCAUGCCGCGUGUGUGAAGAAGGCCCUCGGGUUGUAAAGCACUUUCAGCGAGGAAGAACGCCUAGCGGUUAAUACCCGCUAGGAAAGACAUCACUCGCAGAAGAAGCACCGGCUAACUCCGUGCCAGCAGCCGCGGUAAUACGGAGGGUGCAAGCGUUAAUCGGAAUUACUGGGCGUAAAGCGCGCGUAGGUGGCUUGAUAAGCCGGUUGUGAAAGCCCCGGGCUCAACCUGGGAACGGGCAUCCGGAACUGUCAAGCUAGAGUGCAGGAGAGGAAGGUAGAAUUCCCGGGUGUAGCGGUGAAAUGCGUA